AACGAACGCUGGCGGCAGGCUUAACACAUGCAAGUCGAACGGGUGUAGCAAUACAUCAGUGGCGCACGGGUGAGUAACGCGUGGGAAUAUGCCCUUUGGUACGGAACAACCUCGGGAAACUGAGGCUAAUACCGUAUAAUAUCUGCGGAUCAAAGAUUUAUCGCCAAAGGAUUAGCCCGCGUUGGAUUAGGUAGUUGGCGAGGUAACGGCUCACCAAGCCGACGAUCCAUAGCUGGUCUGAGAGGAUGAUCAGCCACACUGGGACUGAGACACGGCCCAGACUCCUACGGGAGGCAGCAGUGAGGAAUAUUGGACAAUGGAGGAAACUCUGAUCCAGCCAUGCCGCGUGAGUGAUGAAGGCCUUCGGGUUGUAAAGCUCUUUUACCUCUGACGAUAAUGACGGUAAGGGGAGAAAAAGCCACGGCUAACUUCGUGCCAGCCGCCGCAGUAA
rnacentral:rRNA from 1 species